UACGGGGGGGGGCAAGCGUUGUUCGGAAUUACUGGGCGUAAAGGGCUCGUAGGCGGCCAACUAAGUCGGAUGUGAAAUCCCCAGGCUUAACCUGGGAACUGCAUCCGAUACUGGAUGGCUUGAAUCCGGGAGAGGGAUGCAGAAUUCCAGGUGUAGCGGUGAAAUGCGUAGAUAUCUGGAGGAAUACCGGUGGCGAAGGCGACAUCCUGGACCGGCAUUGACGCUGAGGAGCGAAAGCUAGGGGAGCAAACGGG
rnacentral:rRNA from 1 species